rnacentral:rRNA from 1 species
UACGAAGGGGGCUAGCGUUGCUCGGAAUUACUGGGCGUAAAGCGCACGUAGGCGGCUCUUUAAGUCGGGGGUGAAAUCCUGGAGCUCAACUCCAGAACUGCCUUCGAUACUGAAGAGCUCGAGUCCGGGAGAGGUGAGUGGAACUGCGAGUGUAGAGGUGAAAUUCGUAGAUAUUCGGAAGAACACCAGUGGCGAAGGCGACUCACUGGACAUGUAUUGACGCUGAGGUGCGAAAGCGUGGGGAGCAAACAGG